rnacentral:rRNA from 1 species
GACGAACGCUGGCGGCGUGCUUAACACAUGCAAGUCGUACGGUAAGGCCCUUUCGGGGGUACACGAGUGGCGAACGGGGGAGUAACACGUGAGUAACCUUCCCACAACUUUGGGAUAACGCUAGGAAACUGGUGCUAAUACUGGAUAUGUGCUCCUGCUGCAUGGUGGGGGUUGGAAAGCUCCGGCGGUUGUGGAUGGACUCGCGGCCUAUCAGCUUGUUGGUGGGGUAGUGGCCUACCAAGGCGGCGACGGGUAGCCGGCCUGAGAGGGUGACCGGCCACAUUGGGACUGAGAUACGGCCCAGACUCCUACGGGAGGCAGCAGUGGGGAAUAUUGCACAAUGGGCGCAAGCCGGAUGCAGCAACGCCGCGUGCGGGAUGACGGCCUUCGGGUUGUAAACCGCUUUCAGCAGGGACGAAGCUUUUUGUGACGGUACCUGCAGAAGAAGCACCGGCUAACUACGUG